UACAGAGGUCUCAAGCGUUGUUCGGAUUCAUUGGGCGUAAAGGGUGCGUAGGCGGCGCGGUAAGUCGGGUGUGAAAUCUCGGGGCUUAACUCCGAAACUGCAUUCGAUACUGCCGUGCUUGAGGACUGGAGAGGAGACUGGAAUUUACGGUGUAGCGGUGAAAUGCGUAGAUAUCAGGAGGAACACCGGUGGCGAAGGCGGAUCUCUGGGCCAUUACUGACGCUGAGGAGCGAAAGCGUGGGGAGCGAACAGG
rnacentral:rRNA from 1 species